rnacentral:rRNA from 1 species
CCCUUAGAUGUUCUGGGCCGCACGCGCGCUACACUGAUGCAUUCAACGAGUCUAAAACCUGCUCUGAUAGGGGUGGGUAAUCUUUUGAAUGUGCAUCGUGAUUGGGAUAGAUGAUUGCAAUUUUUCAUCUUCAACGAGGAAUGCCUAGUAAACGCAAGUCAUCAGCUUGCAUUGAUUACGUCCCUGCCCUUUGUACACACCGCCCGUCGCUCCUACCGAUUGAAUGAUCCGAUGAAUAUCAUGGAUUGAGGAUGUAAGCAGGUUCGCCUGUCUUCAUCUUCGAGAAGUGAAGUUAAUCUUAUCAUUUAGAGGAAGGAGAAGUCGUAACA